CUGUUAUUUAUCAUCCCACCUGUUUUUUUCUUUUUCUUUCCCCCCCGCUGCUCGGGCUGGAGCUGCUGCAGCUCGCAGGGCAGUGGCUGUAGCUCCAUAGCGUGGGUCCUGCCCUCUCCAGGAAGCUGAGAUCCACGAGCUGCAGAAGCUUCCAAGCACCCUGUCAGCUGUUCCUAACUGAAAUUCUCUUUUUGAGGAGAAGUUAUACUGGGCAUCAUGAAUGUCAGUGAUUUUGUAAUUCUCCCGGGCUCAAAAGCUGGAACCUCAGUGAGAUUAAAAACAAAAACUGUAAAGGAAUUGCAGUUGGAGAAAGUGCAGUUAGAAGCAGAAAACAAAGAGAUGGAGGAGAGGUUGCGGCAGCUGCAGUCAAACAUGAGCAAAGAAAAAGAAGAGAGGAGGAAGUUAGGUGCUUAUCACUGGAAAUCUGGGCAGGCAGGACCAAGGACCACCCCACCCCGAGCUGGGGCACAAAAUAAUGAAAACAGGAAGAAGGUUUCUCCAGAAAAAGUGAAGUUGCAAGUACUCAAGAAACAGAGUCAAGACCCAGUGAAAAAAACAGUUAAACCUGAAAGAGAUGUUGUAGCUCAUGAAAAAUUGGGAGUGAAGGGGAUUGCCUGUGGAUCACCUGAAAUUAGGGGUGGGCUGCUGGAACCAGCCUCAGAACCAACCUGUGCAAGCCCUGGAAGGCAGGACAAAGGACUGCUGCAGAGUGGGGCCUUCGAUGAGGAGGCAUCUGCAAAGGCUUUUCAGGAAGCUUUGCUUCAGUGGAGAGAAGGUAAAAGUGAUCCUGGAGGAGAUCCAUGUGCCAGUGGGGUCCCACCAGAACCUGUGGGGGUUUGUGAGGUCCAGACCAAUGUUACUGCUCUGAAGGAACCCAUCCAGGUGGAGUUCCAGAAGGAUGGCCUGAGCUACAUGGAGAAACUCCUGCUGAAGAAAUACAGAAGAACUCCUGUUGAUCAAUUUUUUUCGAGUUGCAUGAAGGAUUCAAGGCCUGUGCAAGCUCUGAGUGUUCACCAGGCUGGGGUUGGAGGAGAGGGACAAAGAGAUGAUGAUGACAUUGAGGAGUUAACAGCUGAAGAGGUGAAGAAAUACUGGGCAUCUGUUUAUAGAGUUGAAGAAUCCAACACUGUUUGUGAAAAUGCAGCGUCCUCUUUGAAAAUUGAGUUCCUUGAUGAUUCUCACGGCAAGGACUUGGGAGACUCUUCAGUGGAGGAAACUGGAGCUGUGGGGAUGAAUAAGCAAGGAAAGACUGACCCACUGGAGUGUGGAAGGUGUCAGAAAUGCAGAGAUUGUGGGGGAGGAAAGGAAAUAAUCCCAAAUUUGGGAAAUCCUGUUUCUCCUAAAGACGUUUCUCAAGAAAAACUGACUGUGUGCAGUGAUCUUGAAAUAAAUGCAGUGCAGGAGGAGAAUAUUGAACCAAAGGGUGGGAGAAGAUCACUGAGCUCCUGUGAACUUCCUGAGGAGAUCCCUGACCCCACUGAAGGCGUGAGCAAAGAUCUCACUGAACUAAAGAGCACCAGAGAUCUCCUGGAGACUGAGCUGCAGAACAGCAGGAGAGAGCCACAAGAACUGGGCAGUGUCUGCAACAGUCACAGUUUGGUCUUGCCUGUAAUUACAAAAUCUUCAGCAUUACAGGAUGUAGCCAGGAGACAGAACUGUGGCUCUGCAUCGUAUCAGGGACUUGAAGGUUUCUUUGUUGUAGGUGCAAACGCUAAACAAGAAAAGCUGGAGGCUCCUUCUUCCCUGGCUGCUGCCUCCAGCCCUCGGGACAGGAUUUCUUUUCCAGGAGAUGGGCAGUGGGUUUCUGAAAGGAGCUUAAGUGAAUAUGCUGAUGACUCUGUAGUUCAAGGUGUCUUGGAAAGUCAGCUGAACAGAGCUGCAAAUGCUUUCCAGGCUCAAAAGCAACUUUGUCCUCUGAUGGCAGCGUGGAUGCCAUGGCCAGGCCCUGAAAAUCAUUCCAGCUUAACUUGUGAAGAUGGAACUUCAGGCAGAGCCUGGGAGAAGAUCUGUGAAAAUGCAGAUUUCCAGAGCACCCCGGAGCUGAAAGACCACGACACGUUUGAUAUUUUUGGGGACUGGGAGGAAAGCCAGAUGGAUGAUGAGGAAGCAGUUCUGGAGGACAAACAACAGGUUCUGGCAUUGCAAUGAACAUGAAAAACUAACUCCAGUCUUCACCUUUUUAUGGUUCAGAACCAAGAAGACCAAGAGGUGGAAUUUGGUGUCUCUAAAUGUGGUUUCAUGUUGCCAAGCUGGAAGGUGCCACCCCAGGGGUAUUAAUGGGAUAAACUGGGGUCUCUGUAGGAUCAGCUUUGUGCUGAGAAGCACAGGAGGAGACUCUAAGGUCAAGUACACUUUGUCACAUGUUUCAGAAGGGCCUUGCACCUUGCAGUGCAGCUUUCCACUGUACAUUUAACAUCUCCUGCCACACUCCUUUCUUCCUAACUCCAGCAGGGAGCCCAGGCCAGCAGCAAACCUCUGCUCAGAAUCAAUUGGGAAUGAAUUCCCUUUCUUUCUCUGCUCCAAAAUCCCAGUUCGGAGAGAUCUGUGUCCAGGCAAAUCCAGCUGUGCUGGAAAAGUACUUCAGCCACCCUAAUUCAUCCAAACUAGAAGGCAUCAGGCUGAACAGACCAUUGGUUUGAUUUCCUGCCUCAUUUCUUACCUUUAAGUUACUCUUCCAAAUAUUCCUGUUGCACUCAUUUCCCUGGCACAGACAGCCUGACUGCUUCCAUGCUGCUCCCAACCUUUUUUAACAGG